GGGAGCAGAAUGAGCUAGUAUAGCAUUAUACAGCGAACUGCGAAUGGCUCAUUAUAUAAGUUAUCGUUUAUUUGAUAGUACCUUACUACUUGGAUAACCGUGGUAAUUCUAGAGCUAAUACAUGCUUCAAAUCCCGACUUCGGAAGGGAUGUAUUUAUUAGAUUAAAAACCAAUGCCCUCUGGGCUCCUUGGUGAUUCAUAAUAACUUUUCGAAUCGCACGGCCUUGCGCCGGCGAUGGUUCAUUCAAAUUUCUUCCCUAUCAACUUUCGAUGUUUGGGUAUUGGCCAAACAUGGUUACAACGGGUAACGGAGGGUUAGGGCUCGACCCCGGAGAAGGAGCCUGAGAAACGGCUACUACAUCCAAGGAAGGCAGCAGGCGCGCAAAUUACCCAAUCCCGAUUCGGGGAGGUAGUGACAAUAAAUACUGAUACAGGGCUCUUUUGGGUCUUGUAAUUGGAAUGAGUACAAUUUAAAUCCCUUAACGAGGAACAAUUGGAGGGCAAGUCUGGUGCCAGCAGCCGCGGUAAUUCCAGCUCCCAUAGCGUAUAUUAAAGUUGUUGUGGUUAAAAAGCUCGUAGUUGAACCUUGGGCCUGGCUGGCCGGUCCGCCUCACCGCGAGUACUGGUCCGGCCGGGCCUUUCCCUCUGUGGAACCCCAUGCCCUUCACUGGGUGUGGCGGGGAAACAGGACUUUUACUUUGAAAAAUUAGAGUGCUCCAGGCAGGCCUAUGCUCGAAUACAUUAGCAUGGAAUAAUAAAAUAGGACGCGUGGUUCUAUUUUGUUGGUUUCUAGGACCGCCGUAAUGAUUAAUAGGGACAGUCGGGGGCAUCAGUAUUCAAUUGUCAGAGGUGAAAUUCUUGGAUUUAUUGAAGACUAACUACUGCGAAAGCAUUUGCCAAGGAUGUUUUCAUUAAUCAGGAACGAAAGUUAGGGGAUCGAAGACGAUCAGAUACCGUCGUAGUCUUAACCAUUAACUAUGCCGACUAGGGAUCGGACGAUGUUAUUUUUUGACGCGUUCGGCACCUUACGAGAAAUCAAAGUGCUUGGGCUCCAGGGGGAGUAUGGUCGCAAGGCUGAAACUUAAA
rnacentral:rRNA from 1 species